AUCUAAAAGCUUAAAAUGUAAAACAAAACAAAACACCCAGUAAAAUGUUAGCACAUUCUUUCAAUCAUUAUAAUUUUAAUAAACAUGUUGUGAAGUUUUAGGCCACCUGGCAAAAGAGUUUAUUUUUAAAAAGUAAUUUCUACAUAAUGAUUUCACUUCUCUAAAUCAAAUCCAAGCUGAAACUUCCAGAGUGCUGCUAAUCAGCAACCACAAAAUUAAAACAUUAAGGGUUGGAAGGUUCCUUUGAUUUUACCUAGACUCACCCAGUCUAAUUCCCACUAAAACACUGUUAGAAAUGAAACAAAUUAUAAUAAGGCCUAUAGUAAGCUAAAUGGCAUUCACAAUUAAAAACAAAACAAAAUAAAACCCCAGGGAAAAGCUCUAACACCUUCAAUAUUAAACUGGGACUUGCUAUGAAUUUUUAGCUAUAAAUACUGUAAAGAAAGAACAAAAGCUAACAGUACAAAAACUAGGCCAUUUAAUGAAAUAAGAAAAAUAAUGUGAAAGGACAAAAGCACAUCUAUGUAGACUUCAAAAUAACAUUUAACUCAGAGAACUAUCAUAUCAUUUUGGUAGAUCUAGCAGAAGAGGCACAUAACUGCUCUAAUUCCCUAACAACACGAAUGCCCCAGGCC